AUGAGGUCUGUUCCCUCUCUCCCCCUCCACCACCACACUGUAACUACAGAACAGAGGUCAGGGGUCAGGAGUUGUUCUAGACAGUAGAUAUGAGGUCUGUUCCCUCUCUCCCCCUCCACCACCACACUGUAACUACAGAACAGAGGUCAGGGGUCAGGAGUUGUUCUAGACAGUAGAUAUGAGGUCUGUUCCCUCUCUCCCCCUCCACCACCACACUGUAACUACAGAACAGAGGUCAGGGGUCAGGAGUUGUUCUAGACAGUAGAUAUGAGGUCUGUUCCCUCUCUCCCCCUCCACCACCACACUGUAACUACAGAACAGAGGUCAGGGGUCAGGAGUUGUUCUAGACAGUAGAUAUGAGGUCUGUUCCCUCUCUCCCCCUCCACCACCACGCUGUAACUACAGAACAGAGGUCAGGGGUCAGGAGUUGUUCUAGACAGUAGAUAUGAGGUCUGUUCCCUCUCUCCCCCUCCACCACCACGCUGUAACUACAGAACAGAGGUCAGGGGUCAGGAGUUGUUCUAGACAGUAGAUAUGAGGUCUGUUCCCUCUCUCCCCCUCCACCACCACGCUGUAACUACAGAACAGAGGUCAGGGGUCAGGAGUUGUUCUAGACAGUAGAUAUGAGGUCUGUUCCCUCUCUCCCCCUCCACCACCACACUGUAACUACAGAACAGAGGUCAGGGGUCAGGAGUUGUUCUAGACAGUAGAUAUGAGGUCUGUUCCCUCUCUCCACCACCACACUGUAACUACAGAACAGAGGUCAGGGUCAGGAGUGUAUUUGCAUUUGUAUUUAUUAUGGAUCCCCAUUAGUUCAUGCCAAGGCAGCAACUACUC